UCUAAACAAAGUAAAGGCAGUGUUUACACUUUUUUUCAGUUUCCAAGGAAGCUUGGCGACGUCAAAAGGAUGUUUGGCUUCGUCCUUCAAGUCUCCGACUCUGCUACCUUCGUGGAGAAGUCCUUCAAGGUCUGGCAAGAGAGGAUGAACUCGACAAGGGAGGAAAAGAAGGUCUGCUGCUGCUCUCGUAUCUCUCUGGUUUUUACGUGAAUAAAUGAUGAAAAUUGUGAAGCAGACAACCUCUAUUUAUAGUGAACACGCCAAACCCUAGUUGUGCUCCUAGCCCUUCAUUGAUUUGUGAUCCAACGGAGCAGAAUUAUACUUUAAAUCCUGAUUUAGACCUUCCUAGAAUUCUCUGGAAUGUCUUGUGCAGAAAUCUAUUGCAUAAGGCUUGAAUAUGGACCAGGUACACUCCUUGUUCUCCAAAGAAAAUCACAGCAGUGAAAACUUUCCUUCUUUUGCCUUCAAUUAAACCUUUGACGAAAUUCCCUUCCUUUAUUUGUGCGCAAUUAGAGUUCCUACAAGGGAAAUAAAAUCAGAUAGAUAUGGUAGGAAUAACAUAAUUCAAAUGACGAAUUUAAAGGAAAGAAUCUCCCUUAAUUCUCUGAUUAGCACAUAUAAAAUCCUUGAUUGCUGCAGAAUUCGUCCUCCCCUUUUUAUAGACAUUCACAGAUUCCUAUUCCAAGUUGGAUUAGGUUUUCUGAUUGCAAAUGGUUUCCCUGUCUCAUUAGAAAAGAAAGUUUCCUAAUUAUUUUAGGAAAGUCAGAAUAGGAAAAAUUCAAAAGUAGUAAGUUUCCUAAAUCAAAAUAAGAAAAUUUUUCUUAAAAUGAAAUAGGCAAGUUUCCCUUUCAAAACAGGAAAGUUUUCUAAAUGACUCCUUGCUGCACCAGGAAUCCUCCUUUGAUUAUGAUUUCCCUCAAUUCUUGCUCUUUAGCCUUAUUUUGUGUAAAACUGCCUCUUUUAACCUACAACACAGAAACAAGCUAGAAAUGAUAUUAUUAAGGAAAUAACGAAGCUAAAUAGGGUAGGAAAUACAUUAAGAAUAUAGCAUAAAAUGCGUGUAUCAAGCCCUUUAGUUUUAAAUGCCCAGUUUGCAGGCUAAGUUUAAAUGAGAUCGAGCGUACAUGGAGUCGAUGCAUAGUCAGAGGCUGCUUCCGCUUAUUCUUUAUUAUUUGUUUUUCAUUUAUUAUAGAUAUGCUCUGAUAACCAUUUGAUAUUGUUAUUAGUUGAUUAAGGCUUGAUGGGAGAUGUGAUGAACUUGGGGAGGAGGAAAGCUCCAGGAGUUGUGGGUGGAUGAUUUAUAAUAGAAGUGUUUAUCUGGAAUUUUUCAGGUAAGGGUUGUCUAUUUUCAAGGUAGAUUAUGCCUAAUUUUAGAUAAAUUUUUCUUGAAGGUGGAUCCCGCAGGAAUUACUUCGGGUUUCAAGGUGAAAUUCGGGGUGGGUCCUGACAUAGGCUACUCAUUUAUAUAAACUACCUCCUACUCAAACUCACAUUUCCUUUUUGCUACACUAGUAGAAAAAAAGGCUUAAGCGAUGGUACAUUCAUAUUUCGUAGCUUAAGCAGAUCCUAAGCGACGAAAAUAAAUAUCGUCGCUGGAAAUACAUAUUUCGUCGCUACAAUUUUCUGGGGUGACGAAAUUUUUUUAUCGCCUUAGUUUUGUCGCCACAUGUCCCACUAUGGCGACAAUAAGGUUUUUGUCGCAACUGGUUCAUGUAGCGACGAAAAUUUUAACACUUAAGCGACGAACUUUUUUGUCGCAUUAUAUUCUUCUCCUAACCGACAAAUAAACGUAUCGUUGUCUAAGUUUUAAACUAUAGCGGUGGAAUAUUUGACAAUAGAGCGACAAAACUGUUUGUCGCAUUAUAUCCUUCACUUAACCGACGAAUUAAUUGCCUGUCGUCUUAGAUGAAGACUAAAGUGACGAAACUUUGACUUUAAAGUGACCAAACUGGUUGUCGCAUGAUGUCUUUCACCUAACCGACGAAUUUACUGUUCGUUGUCUUAGAUUAUGACUAAAGCGAGGAAAUAUUUGACUUUAGAGCCACGAAAAUGUUUGUCGUAUUAUAUUCUUCACCUAAGCGAGGGCAUUUUUGACUUUAGCGACGAAAUAUUUUGUCACUUAAGUGAAUUCUUCUUUAGGUUAUGAGAAUCAACCCUUUUUUAUCUUGAUGAUCCAAAGGAGGGUGGGGGUUGGAAAGUUGUUAACAUGAUGUCACAUAGAGGUAUAUUUAUACUGCAACUACACUUGAGAUGAGUAUUGCAAAUAGAUAUUGAUAAUGUGACUCUUGAACCAUAUCAAGAAGCCUCGACGUCUAAUAUCCCCGACAUGGAGACUAUUCGCAUCAACAACGACAAUCACCUCCAACCCCACGAGUACGUUCCCAUUUUUAAUUUAGAGUUUGACUUCAGUUCAUUUCCAUUCAUCCCAUGCUCCUUGCACAUCUUUGGUAAUAAAAUUUGUUCUUUAAAAUCAUAGUCUGCCAAUCGUUGGUAAAAGAAAAUGGAACUCAAAAGAGUAAUUCAUUAAGUUUGGAAGCAACUUCAGUGAGUUAAAAAUAACCAGCAACUAAGAUCUUUGGGGGAAGAGAGAGAGAGAGAGAGAGAGAGAGAGAGAGAGAGAGAUCAAAAUCUGAAAAUUUCAACAAGUACUGAAGACACUACCUUAGACAAGUUUGAUCUAAAUUUCAGUUCCCUUGUGUCCUUGUUCCUACUAUAAGCAUAUGAACCAUAGUCAGUCCUAACAUGAUUUUCUUUACAACUAAGUCACAGCAGUAGCUAGGCUUCUAUGUAUGGGCUUAUUCCAGAGAGAACACAAAUCAGAAGUAUUGAUAAUAACAUGUAAAAUUUCAAGACAUGUCAAAGAUCAAUGACAGAAAUAAGAGUGUAAAGAAUCCCAAAUCCAUUGUUUUAUAAUAAUGAGCUGCAAAUCAGAAUAAAAACACAAUAUGAGAAAUUUUCCGGAAAUAGGUAGUAAGAAAGAAAAAUUCACCAACAAUUGACCUUUCAAUAUUUUCAUGUGAAAAUUCCCAGAAUCAAAAUAGACAAGCAAACCUACAAUGUCCCAAAAUUUCAAGUCGUUUGGAGUUUAAAUGCAUAGAGAUCCAAAGUGACUGAAAAUGCAGUUUCUGCAGAAAAUUCUGAAACACUGUGUAAGCUUCAAAAUAGCACAAGUUUCUCAUAUCAACUCCGUUUUGCUUGAAACCAAGUUUAAAACGAUCAUUGAAGAGUCUACUUUUAACUGUUAAAAACUGAGAUUGAAAGAAGAAGUUUAAGUUUUUUGAAAAUCUUGGAAAAGCCCACUGGUUCAGCUUGGUGGUGUCUUUGAGACAUACUAUCAAACAUGUGGUGUGCACUAUGUGAUCCUUGCUCUAUUUCUGUUCUAAGCAUUUUAAAGAACCUACCAAUACUAGCUAAUAGUCAAAAGUGCAUCCCAACAACAAUCUUGAACACAUAUACAUAUAAAUCUUAUUAGAGGAAGAAACGUAUUACCGAAAGAAAGUAAGUUCCAAUGCUGUUACAAAAUAGGAGGGAAGCUCACUGAUUCGUAGGCCCAAAAUCCUCUGAGUGAUCUAUCAAAGUAGAACUCAUGGAUUUAAAACAGGUUUAUAGAACAUGUAAGACAAGAAGAGACAUGGAGCUGAGCAAAUCAGAAUAAAAACACAUUUGGUUCCACAAUGAUAUAACACUAUUUUACAAACAACUAGUUAAAGUCACCAUCACAUACGCAGAUAUACAAAAAUCCAAUUCAAUCUCAGAAAAUUGAUUAUUAAAUUCCUAUAAGAUUUGAGUAUGACUCAGUGAUAUUUUUGUGCAGCAACCCCUUCUAUAUAUUUUCACAUAUAUUCCAGAUAAGAACGUACAUAUAACAAUAAGAGAUGACAAGUAAAUAUAUAGUUGAUGGAUAUCCAGACUACUUGUAAGAGAGAAAUUAUAUUCCUAUCGUGAUACUGGGAACUAAUACAUGAAUUUACAAAGCACAAAGGUAUUAAUAAGAACGAGUGUAUAAGCACUGGAACAAACCAAUAUUAGAUAUCGCAAUGAAAUAACAAUAAGUGGCAGUAGUAGCUAUGAACUCUUAAUUUUCAGAUUUUCACACAGAAAAUUGAUACAACUCCAUGAUCUCAAAACUCACCCAUUUUAGAUAAAACUUGAUUCUAUUGAAGGAGAAUAAAACCCUCUAUAGUAUAAUGUGAGCUUUAUACCCAGUUGAGGAGUUCAAGAACCAAAAACAAGUCCUUGAAUCCAACUUGUUUAAUACUGAAAUAGAAACAGCAAAAUGCCCAACUUCACAGCUCAAUAACUACCUUAAUACUCAGUCAAAUUAAGCAAAUAAUAUGUCGAUUAAUAAGUACUCGAAGUACCCAUCGAGUCUGAGCAAUCAACUACCAUCGAGUCUGAGCAAUCAACUAUGGGUUUAAGAACCAGUAAGGCAAUGCAAUUCUACUAAUAACAAAAAUUUCGACCCCAGCACUAAAGAAGCCAAUUCUAAUGAUACUAGAAUGAAUAGCUCAACAGCAAAACAAACGCUCAACAGGUGAAUUGACACAGUGAACAAAGAAUAUCAAAAUGAGUAUCAAGCAUAACACCAGAUAAUGAAAUUUUCAAAAGUUCUACUCACCUCAAACACCUUCUCCCAAGGCAAGCCUUCGACUUCUCUCCCUCUCUUCCAAAUCGCCAGAGCUCCAAUUGCUCCAUCCUCCUAAAAGCUAAUUCUUCAUUACUUUACCUCAUGUUCAAUUGUCCUCCACCUUCAAAACCUCCCACACAUCCCCACAAUUAGAACCCCCAAAAUUGCAAAUUUCCAAAAGAAAUAUAGGCUUUAGAGAUUGAAGAGUAAGGGAUUACAUUAUCGACCUCCAUGGAAACCAUACUCGAGCGGUGAAUGCAGGCACGAGAGAGAGAGGCUCUAAGAGUUCACAGAAUUGGAACUGAAGGCGGGCUCAGAAACCAAACUAAUGCAAAACACAGAAGAAUAUGAGAGUGGUCAGAAAUCGUACCAGAGGCGGCGAUGCUCAGACAGACAGUGGUAACACUACUAGAGAUGUAUCCUUUAAUGACACUUAUUUUAUGACGUUUCGGGAUAAAUGUCAUUAUAAGGGGUUUCCAUGACGUUUAAGGCAGCAAACGUCAUGGAUGUAAAACACGGAGCAAUUAUAUGACAUUUUAUAAACGUCAUGGUAAAACACUUACCAUGACGUUUAUUUUUCGUCAUCAAUAGGUUUCAAUGAUGGUUUCGGUCUGUCAUGCAUACUGUUUGGGCCAUGACAGUUUAUUACUGUCAUCAAAAGUUUUGGGAAAAAUUUUGACACUGUGCCCAAAAUUUGGCUUCGCGCCUGACCCAAAAUUUGGCCCUAAAAUUUUGAGUUACAGUUUGAGUUCGUUCAUUUUAGUUUUAACUCACUUGCCUAAAAUUUAUCUCACCCAAACUCGAUCUCAAACUUCACUUUCCAAUUUCUCUCUUGCAAAUCAGUCACCCAAACUCAAUCUCACACUCAAUCCGAAUCUCAUCCCAAACUCGAUCUCUCACCCAAAUCAGUCACCCCUCUCCCAAAUCACAUCCCCAAAUCUAACACCCCUCUCCCAAAAUCUCAUCCCCAAAUCUCAUCCAAAUCUGUCACACUGCUCUUCGCCCUAAUCCCAAUUGUUUGAGAGUAGAAAUAGCUUCUGGACAAGAAGAGAAACCCAAAGAACAAAAGAUAGAGAGAGGAAAAAC
rnacentral:lncRNA from 1 species